rnacentral:tRNA from 2 species
GGGAAUAGCUCAGUUGGUAGAGCGUUUGCUUGCCAAGCAAAAGGUCGCCGGUUCGAACCCGGUUUCC